rnacentral:rRNA from 1 species
AGCGAACGCUGGCGGCAGGCUUAACACAUGCAAGUCGAACGCAUCCUUCGGGGUGAGUGGCAGACGGGUGAGUAACACGUGGGAACGUACCUCUUUGUUCGGAAUAGCUUUUGGAAACGAAAGGUAAUACCGGAUACGCCCUUUUGGGGAAAGAUUUAUCGCAGAGAGAUCGGCCCGCGUCUGAUUAGCUAGUUGGUGAGGUAAUGGUUCACCAAGGCGACGAUCAGUAGCUGGUCUGGGGGGAUGAUCAGCCACACUGGGACUGAGACACGGCCCAGACUCCUACGGGAGGCAGCAGUGGGGAAUAUUGGACAAUGGGCGCAAGCCUGAUCCAGCCAUGCCGCGUGAGUGAUGAAGGCCUUAGGGUUGUAAAGCUCUUUUGUCCGGGAAGAUAAUGACUGUACCGGAAGAAUAAGCCCCGGCUAACUUCGUGCCAGCAGCCGCAGUAA